GGAAGGGCACCACAAGAAGUGGAGCUUGCGGCUUAAUUUGACUCAACACGGGAAAAUUUACCAGGUCCAAACUUAUCGAGGUAAGACAGAUUGAUAGCUCUUUCUCAAAUUUAAGGGUAGUGGUGCAUGGCCGUUCUUAGUUCGUGGAAUGAUUUGUCUGGUUAAUUCCGAUAACGAACGUGACUCAAACAUGCUAACUAGAACGCUGUCAGCAGUGCGCCUCCGGGCGCACCUGACGUUACAGCCGGGCGGCGCCUUCACGGGCGGUCGUCGGCUACGUUUGCCCUGCUUAGCGGGACAACUUGUGUUUAGCAAGCUGAGAAUGAGCGAUAACAGGUCCGUGAUGCCCUUAGAUGUUCUGGGCUGCACGCGUGCUACAAUGUGGGUCGCAGCGUGUUCUCGCCAAUAGGCGCCCCCAUUCCGAGAGGAACGGGAAAUCACUAAAAUGCCCAUCUAGUCGGGAUUGGGGACUGCAACGGUCCCCAUGAACCUGGAAUUUCUAGUAAGCACUAGUCAUUAGCUAGUGCUGAUUACGUCCCUGCCCUUUGUACACACCGCCCGUCGCUACUACCGAUGGAUUAUUUAGUGAGGUUUCUGGAGGCUUACCUUCCGCGGUUCCUUCGUGAGCUGCAGCUGGCAUGGCUGAAGUUGACCGAACUUGAUGAUUUAGAGGAAGUAAAAGUCGUAACAAGGUUUCCGUAGGUGAACCUGCGGAAGGAUCAUUACUGAUGAUCGUCCGCGAGUGACCAACCAUGGGCUGCCUUCGGUGUAGCUCGGUCGCUCGCUUGCUAUGUGUCAGAAUUUGUUGAAAGCCAACUCGUUCGUUGUACACUUUGAUGGGUGACCAUCACUGUGUCCCCGUGCCGAGCUAGAUCUCCCCUAGCCGUAAGGCACUUUGAACGCCCCUUCGACGACGAGUUACAAGAGUGUGGUAUGUGUCAGAAUCUGGUGAAGCUUUCUGCAUGUGAUGUGCCUUGUGUGGAUCCGUGGCCAUUGCAUUGUGUCUGGUGCUUAGAUACCCAGACACUUAGAACGCUUGCGCGGAAAGCAAACUCGAUCGUUGUACACUUUGAUGGGUGACCAUCACUGUGUCUCCGUGCCGUGCUAGAUCCCCCCUAGCCGUAAGGCACUUUGAACGCCCCUUCGACGACGAGUUACAAGAGUGUGGUAUGUGUCAGAAUCUGGUGAAGCUUUCUGCAUGUGAUGUGCCUUGUGUGGAUCCGUGGCCAUUGCAUUGUGUCUGGUGCUUAGAUACCCAGACACUUAGAACGCUUGCGCGGAAAGCAAACUCGAUCGUUGUACACUUUGAUGGGUGACCAUCACUGUGUCUCCGUGCCGUGCUAGAUCCCCCCUAGCCGUAAGGCACUUUGAACGCCCCUUCGACGACGAGUUACAAGAGUGUGGUAUGUGUCAGAAUCUGGUGAAGCUUUCUGCAUGUGAUGUGCCUUGUGUGGAUCCGUGGCCAUUGCAUUGUGUCUGGUGUGUAGGUACCCAGACACUUAAGCAAACUCGAUCGUUGUACACUUUGAUGGGCGAGCAUCACUGUGUCUCCGUGCCGUGUAAGAGCUCCCCUGGCCAUCAGGCACUUGAAAGGUCCUUGGACGACGAGUUACAAUAGUGGUGUGUUAGAUACGUCAGAUUACGGUGUCUACUACUGUGCAAUACGUAUCCGGCUACGGCACGGAACGAACGGGAACUGUGGUGCAGACAAACAAGAGUUAAGCCUAUUAGUCAUUAACUCUAAGGACGGGGCCAUGGGGCGGUACACAAAGGAUACGGAUGAGCGAGUAUGCAGGCCCAAUACUCAAUAGCUCGAUCCGAUCCAAGCACAUGAGUUGACUGCGGCGUCAGGUUAACCAAUGUGCUAGAUUCUAUUUGGCCAGUAGAAUCUUGUGUCUUACGCGAUUUGAUACCAAGACACCAGAACGAAAGUUAGUUGAAGAGUGAUUAAACUCUUAUGAAGAAUGGUUGUGCAAUCACAACUUAUGACUUUAACCUAUAAAGUGGAUAUGGACUAUCAAUUAUAACAUGGGGCACACACCAUGUUCUCGAUCCAAUCCACGCACACGAGUUGCCUGAGUAGCGACAGGUAUACCGAUGUGCAAUACGUAUCCGGCCAUAGGCACGGAACGAACAGGAACUGUGGUGCAGACAUACAAGGGCCAUGGGGCGGUACGCAAAGGAUACGGAUGAGCGAGUAUGCAGGCCCAAUACUCAAUAGCUCGAUCCGAUCCACGCACACGAGUUGCCUGAGUAGCGACAGGUAUACCGAUGUGCAAUACGUAUCCGGCCAUAGGCACGGAACGAACAGGAACUGUGGUGCAGACAUACAAGGGCCAUGGGGCGGUACGCAAAGGAUACGGAUGAGCGAGUAUGCAGGCCCAAUACUCAAUAGCUCGAUCCGAUCCAAGCACAUGAGUUGACUGCGGCGUCAGGUUAACCGAUGUGCAAUACGUAUCCGGCCAUAGGCACGGAACGAACAGGAACUGUGGUGCAGACAUACAAGGGCCAUGGGGCGGUACGCAAAGGAUACGGAUGAGCGAGUAUGCAGGCCCAAUACUCAAUAGCUCGAUCCGAUCCAAGCACAUGAGUUGACUGCGGCGCCAGGUUAACCAAUGUGCU